AUUGAACGCUAACGGUAUGCUUAACACAUGCAAGUCGAACGGCAGCACAAUUGUAGCAAUACGAUGGGUGGCGAGUGGCGGACGGGUGAGUAAUGCAUAGGAAUCUGCCUUGUAGUGGGGGAUAACCCGGGGAAACUCGGGCUAAUACCGCAUAAUCUUUACGAAGCAAAGUGGGGGACCGUAAGGCCUCAUGCUAUAAGAUGAGCCUAUGUCGGAUUAGCUAGUUGGUAGGGUAAAAGCCUACCAAGGCAACGAUCCGUAGCUGGUCUGAGAGGAUGAUCAGCCACACUGGGACUGAGACACGGCCCAGACUCCUACGGGAGGCAGCAGUGGGGAAUAUUGGACAAUGGGCGCAAGCCUGAUCCAGCAAUACCGUGUGUGUGAAGAAGGCCUUAGGGUUGUAAAGCACUUUUAGUGGGAAAGAAAAGCUUAUGGUUAAUAUCCGUGAGUGCUGACGUUACCCACAGAAAAAGCACUGGCUAACUCUGUGCCAGCCGCCGCAGUAAGAC
rnacentral:rRNA from 1 species